rnacentral:rRNA from 1 species
CAGCAGCCGCGGGAAUACGAAGGGGGCUAGCGUUGCUCGGAAUGACUGGGCGUAAAGGGCGCGUAGGCGGUUUAUACAGUCAGAUGUGAAAUUCCUGGGCUCAACCUGGGGACUGCAUUUGAUACGUAUGGACUUGAGUGGAGAAGAGGGUUGUGGAAUUUCCAGUGUAGAGGUGAAAUUCGUAGAUAUUGGAAAGAACACCGGUGGCGAAGGCGGCAACCUGGUCUUUAACUGACGCUGAGGCGCGAAAGCGUGGGGAGCAAACAGGAUUAGAUACCCCUGUAGUCCCUGUCUCUGAUAA